rnacentral:rRNA from 1 species
UUUUAUAAUUAAUUUAAUUAAGAUUAUUUAAAUAUAAAAAAAUUAAAAUUAAAUUAUUUAUUUUGUUGGGGUGACAGAAAAAUAUAUAUAACUUUUUUUAAUAUUUUAACAUUUAUAAGUGAUUAAAUGAUCCAGUAAUAUUGAUUAUAA